rnacentral:rRNA from 1 species
AACCGACACAGGUGGGUGGGAUGAGUAUUCUAAGGCGCGUGGAAGAACCCUCUUUAAGGAACUCUGCAAAAUAGCACCGUAUCUUCGGUAUAAGGUGUGCCUACUUUGGUAUAUGGACUUGCUUCAAAAAGCUAAAGAGGUUGCAACAAAGAGUCCCUCCCGACUGUUUACCAAAAACACAGCACUUUGCUAACACGUAAGUGGAUGUAUAAGGUGUGACGCCUGCCCGGUGCUCGAAGGUUAAUUGAUGAUGUCAGCGCAAGCGAA